UACGUAGGGUGCGAGCGUUAAUCGGAAUUACUGGGCGUAAAGCGUGCGCAGGCGGUUCGUUGUGUCGGUGGUGAAAUCCCCGGGCUUAACCUGGGAAUGGCCAUGGAAACUGGCGAACUGGAGUGCGGCAGAGGGGGGUGGAAUUCCGCGUGUAGCAGUGAAAUGCGUGGAGAUGUGGAGGAACACCAAUGGCGAAGGCAGCCUUCUGGGCCAACACUGACGCUCAUGUGCGAAAGCUAGGGGAGCGAACGGG
rnacentral:rRNA from 1 species